rnacentral:rRNA from 1 species
AUUGCACAAUGGGGGAAACCCUGAUGCAGCGACGCCGCGUGGGCGAAGAAGUAUUUCGGUAUNUAAAGCCCUAUCAGCAGGGAAGNNGCNNNGNCGGUACCUGAGUAAGAAGCACCGGCUAAAUACGUGCNNNCNGCCGCGGUAAUACGUAUGGUGCAAGCGUUAUCCGGAUUUACUGGGUGUAAAGGGAGCGCAGGCGGCACGGCAAGCCUGAUGUGAAAGCCCGCGGCCCAACCGCGGGACUGCAUUGGGAACUACCGGGCUGGAGUGCCGGAGAGGUAGGCGGAAUUCCUAGUGUAGCGGUGAAAUGCGUAGAUAUUAGGAGGAACACCAGUGGCGAAGGCGGCCUACUGGACGGUGACUGACGCUGAGGCUCGAAAGCGUGGGGAGCAAACAGG